CCGCCGAGCGCUGAUUGGCCGGGGCGAACACAUUUAUUCCCUGACAAGCCCCCAUCACAUGGAUGGUUGUCUAUUAACUUGUUCAAAAAAGUAUCAGGAGUUGUCAAGGCAGAGAGAGAGAGUGUGUGUGUUUGCAAAAGGGGGUAAAGUAGUUUGCUGGCUCUUUAAGACUGAGGUGGAGAGAGAGAGAGAGAGAGAGAGAGAGAGGCAGGCAGAGAAAAGGGAAAAAGGAGGAAGAAGAAGUUUUUUAAAAGCAAGGCUCCGGCGGUAAUAAUAGCAGUUAUUAGCAUUAUUAAUCCAUCAGCGAAGAGGAAGAUUCUGAUCGUGAUCCAAGUGUGGUUUUGGGGAGUCCCCCUCCCCCCUUUCAUACCCCUCCCUAGGAAAAAAAAAAAAAAAAAGUCCGGCUUGGGACUUUGCUGCCGCUGCUCCUCGCUUCUCUGCUCAAGGCUGGUUCCAGGCAAAAGUAGUUUGAAUGUACAACAUGAUGGAAACCGAGCUGAAACCUCCCGCCCCCCAGCAAACUUCGGGGGGAGGCACAGGCAACUCCAACUCGGCCGCCAACAACCAGAAGAACAGCCCGGACCGGGUCAAGCGCCCCAUGAACGCCUUCAUGGUGUGGUCCCGCGGGCAGCGGCGGAAAAUGGCCCAGGAGAACCCGAAGAUGCACAACUCCGAGAUCAGCAAGCGGCUCGGGGCCGAGUGGAAACUUUUAUCCGAGGCGGAAAAGAGACCCUUCAUUGACGAAGCCAAGCGGCUCAGAGCUCUGCACAUGAAGGAGCACCCGGAUUAUAAAUACCGACCCCGGAGGAAAACCAAGACCCUGAUGAAGAAGGAUAAGUACACGUUGCCAGGGGGCUUACUGGCACCGGGCACCAAUACCAUGACGACUGGGGUAGGGGUUGGGGCCACCUUGGGAGCUGGGGUGAACCAGAGGAUGGACAGUUACGCGCACAUGAACGGCUGGACCAACGGAGGCUAUGGGAUGAUGCAAGAGCAGCUCGGCUACCCGCAGCACCCGGGCUUGAACGCGCACAACGCGGCGCAGAUGCAGCCCAUGCACCGCUACGACGUGAGCGCCCUGCAGUACAACUCCAUGACCAGCUCGCAGACUUACAUGAACGGAUCGCCUACCUACAGCAUGUCGUACUCCCAGCAAGGGACCCCGGGCAUGGCCCUGGGCUCCAUGGGCUCGGUGGUCAAGACGGAAUCCAGCUCCAGUCCCCCCGUAGUCACCUCGUCGUCUCAUUCAAGGGCUCCUUGCCAAGCUGGGGACCUUCGGGACAUGAUCAGCAUGUAUCUACCAGGUGCUGAAGUACCAGAACCAGCUGCCCCAAGCAGACUUCAUAUGUCCCAACACUACCAGAGUGCACCUGUUCCUGGCACAGCCAUUAAUGGCACACUCCCUCUAUCACAUAUGAGCUGAGGGAUAUCCUCGUGUCAGAGACAUCUCCGCAGCCCUGGCCCUUCUGCCAUCUCACCCGGGAGUGCAGAAGCCGAGAAGGAGCGUAGGGCAGUGGCUGAGCAGCAGCUGAAUAUUCAGAUUUCACUCUUCAAGCAACCAGAGACACUUCAAAACCACGCUAAAGAAGGAUAAGCUUGGAGUGCCCAGUCACCGUGGUAACUGCCAGAAAAAUUCUCCUGAAGUUUGAAGAGGUCAGCUAACGGGGUCAACAACUCUGGCCUCUUUCUGAGCUGGGGCUGGCAGGCUCCAUCCUGCGGCUGGGGUGUUAGCGCAGGCUGAGCCCUGGGAGGUGGACCAUUCCAGCUCUGAUAUAAAUUUUUUGAGUCAGUUCACGGCCUGGACUCUCCAGGUGGCCUCCAAAAUCGAUUGUGACCUUGUGACCCUGUCUAACGGAGGCAUAGCAUCCACCCUAAGUAAGGAUUUAGCCAGGAACGACAGCUUUCCACUGAGUGUUAUUGGGGACAGUACAAACAGUUUUGGAAGCAAGGAGGUAGGUAUGAGGAGUUGAGGUCAUUAAAGGCAUAUUAAAAAACAAUUUUAAAAAUCCUUGUUAGUGGAAAGUUUUUAUUAGCAUUAUUCCUUAAAUAAACUGUUCUGGCAAGGACCCUUUUUAUCUUCCCUAACAAUAUCAUAUCAAGUAUUUCAGCACAUUAACAUAUGAAAAAUUGGCACUUUCUAUAUUCCAAACCGAACUAAUAUUUUGUCUACCUCUGGAUUUUGAACUUGUAAAUGAAGCUGGCAGACAUGUGAUAAAAUAGACUUCUGUGAAGCAUGUUUUUUUCCUUAAUACCAUAGAAACCAGGAGACUGCUUAUUAAAGCGGGUUGUUUAUUUUAGGAAGUAACUUCUCUGAUAUAUGUGUUCUUUUUAGAUUCAAGAAGCUCUUUAUUGAUGUCAUUUUAUUAUUAAACUGGGAAAUGAAGUCACAUUCGGAAUAGCACAGAAUGAAAGUAUGAAUCUCACAGGGUGCUUCCCUCACUGGUUUGUAAUACACACAGACAAGCCAUAGAUUUGGUUACAUGUUUUUGUAGAAGAAAACUGUCAUCAUACUAAGAUCAUAUUUAUAGAAAAAAAAUAUUUUUCCCUUAAGAUUUUAAGCAACAAACCAUUGGGGUGAGGCAGGGACAGGGGGAAGCUGCUGCAGAGGUCUGAUUUUGUUAAAAAAAAUAAAUCUAUAAGCAUGCCCUUCCGAGCAAGCAGCCUUGUUAUUGUGCUCCCAGUUAACACUGUCCGGGUUCAUUACCACUUCUACAAAACCUCAGCUCUGCACACACUGCUCACAUGAGUAAUCAGUCGUCAUCAGGUGAGUAAGUGGAACUACAUGGAGGAGCAAAGUCCACUUUCCAAGGUGGAAAAUGCUCUCGAACUUUGAGUGACUUUAAAACUGCUCUGAAGGAAGAAAAUUGCAUUAAUGUUUGUUCCCAGUCUUGGAAAAAUUACACAAACUUAUCCCAGCGGGAAUCUUGCCCAAACACUUCUUGUGCCUCGCAGGAGAGAGCCUGGCUCUGACGUCCUUCUUCCCAUCACUCACCUGCGGAGCAGUUCCCCUCGGGUCAGAGGGCUUGUGCAGAGAUGGGGCUAUUAAAUACGACUCAGAACGAGAGCCUGAGCCCUCUCCACACUAAAUAACAUGGUACCGCUGAGAAGUCCCAUUCGUUACAACAGCAAGAGUCCCUGGCUUUUACUUGUGGUAAAACCUUGCUCUGCAGAAAGCCCCCAGAACCAGCGGAUGCCUGUUGGCCAAGGUCCUGCCUCUUCUAGGGCUGGCGUAAUCUGCCCAGUGGGAUUAUCUGAAGAGCAGGAGUUAAAUUACCACAAAUAAGAAAGGGGGCAGAACUGUGCUCUAAAAUAUUCUGGGGCCCAGACAUGCACGUGCAGGUAUCAGUGGCAACACUCUAUUUAAUUCCUUCCUAAAUACUAACUCUAGUUUGUUGCUGUUGAUUUUUAAUAGAACUAUGCUGAAAACAAUUUACUCACAUCAGCGGGAGUGUUGAUUCAGGGGAGUGCCUUGUAUGACUAAGCUUGGCAAGACAGAGCUCACAGUCCUCAGAGAGGACCAGCAUAUUUGCUCAGUUUUCAGAAAAAGCAUUUAAAAACAGGAAUUGUGAGCAGCUGCAAGGUGAAUACAAAUCUGCAGAAUUUUUAACAUAUUUUUUUUUUUUUUUAAUAUUCAUACCUCUUUUGUAAUGAGGGCAUAAAGUUCCCCAAUUCUACCUGAAAAAUGGGAUUGCUUCUAAAACAGAUGGUACAACCACCACAUUGAAACUUCUGGACCAAAAUUGCCCCGAACUUUCCCAAAAGCCUCAUGCUUGGAACAAGGAAUCAUUGGCAGAGAGAAUGACAAGGAGUCUCAGGAUCUUUUACUUUCUGCAAAAUCUUUUGAGGUGAUUUCUGUUGAUCCUAUUGAAUUGAUAAUCCACUGAAAACCUACAAAUGUCACUUGAAACAGGUCCUGGGUUUGUGUCUUUUGUAACUCUUUGCCUUUUUCUGUUGAUCAUCUCUAGUACAACUGGGAUGUGGAGGACAUUAGCAGCAGCUGCAGCAGGACUGCUGGUCUUCCUCAGCCCUUCCAGCUCCAUGAAGUGCUCGCUCCAAAUCAUUUGAUUCCAUGACAUAUUUUCUGAAGUGCAGGCUGCUUCAGUUUUGGCAGAAUGAUAUACAUGAAUGGGCUUAAUACAGCAUUAGAGAUGAACAGUCAGAAUCACCAAGGGUGCUGGACUGGUGGUUCCCAGCCUCUAUCAUAUGGAUCACUGAUAAUCCAUGGGGCCUUGGGAAGUUUGCUGCAGGUGGUCUGUGGAACUGUAUUAAAUAAUAACGUUCAUAGUCUUCAAUUAAAAUUUUGAUGAGAAGAGUGUGUGGCAGUCUGCACUCAAGUCUGAGAACUGAGAGCGAUCUGCCAGCCUAAAAGGUCUGAGGAUGUCUGCUUUGCAUGAAUGUGUCUCAGCCUGUGGUCCAUCAGGCAUUAGAAAGUAUUUUGAGAAUGCUUUCAAAUUAAAUACAUGUGCAGUAAAUGAACAUGCCUUCUCACUCAUGCAAGCGAGCAAGCAAAAGAAAACAACAGCAAGGAAAAAAAAAAAAAAGGACUUCAAAACAAAACGAAGAAAAUAAAGGUAAUAAAUUAACACUGA